CGCAGCUGAUGUAAGAGAAUUGUACACCCGAUUUAGCACAGCCAAGUUGACAGUGGGAAACUUUGAAGGAGCAGAUGUGAUACAAACGCAACUCCCUAAAUCAUACAGGACAAAUGAAUUUUGUACUCUGUCAGACCCGCUGAUUGAUGUUCGAGAUCCUGAAUUCGGAGCCUUAAGGUUUCUCACUGAAAACAGAGAUCUUUUACCAUUGGCUAACAUUGACUUCCUACAAGAUGCAAGCCAGCGAUAUUCAUCAUCCUAUACAUCUACUGACAGCAGCCCACACCUCAGACUGGAUAAAAUUACACAGAGGUCCCCUCAGACGGUGUCUAGUGCAUCUGAAAUCAGCAUCAGAGAAAUUCCUGCUGAAUUUCUUAAUGUUCAG